CUUCCAAAUUCAUGGAAAUGACAAAUCUAACACCAAAGCAGUGGAGGUUCCAGCCUUUGCCUCCUCCCUAAACUCCAAUGAUGUCUUUCUGCUGCGAACUCAGGCAGAGCACUACCUGUGGUAUGGCAAGACUUCAGCAGGAAAUCCUAGAUGUCCAGUCCCGUCUCUUUGAAUGUUCCAAUAAGACCGGCCAAUUCAUUGUCACUGAGAUCACAGACUUCACCCA
rnacentral:sRNA from 1 species